rnacentral:rRNA from 1 species
CAUAGGUUAAUGAGGCGAACCGGGGGAACUGAAACAUCUAAGUACCCCGAGGAAAAGAAAUCAACCGAGAUUCCCCCAGUAGCGGCGAGCGAACGGGGAGGAGCCCAGAGCCUGAAUCAGUGUGUGUGUUAGUGGAAGCGUCUGGAAAGGCGCGCGAUACAGGGUGACAGCCCCGUACACAAAAAUGCACAUACUGUGAGCUCGAUGAGUAGGGCGGGACACGUGGUAUCCUGUCUGAAUAUGGGGGGACCAUCCUCCAAGGCUAAAUACUCCUGACUGACCGAUAGUGAACCAGUACCGUGAGGGAAAGGCGAAAAGAACCCCGGCGAGGGGAGUGAAAAAGAACCUGAAACCGUGUACGUACAAGCAGUGGGAGCACGCUUCGGCGUGUGACUGCGUACCUUUUGUAUAAUGGGUCAGCGACUUAUAUUCUGUAGCAAGGUUAACCGAAUAGGGGAGCCGAAGGGAAACCGAGUCUUAACUGGGCGUUAAGUUGCAGGGUAUAGACCCGAAACCCGGUGAUCUAGCCAUGGGCAGGUUGAAGGUUGGGUAACACUAACUGGAGGACCGAACCGACUAAUGUUGAAAAAUUAGCGGAUGACUUGUGGCUGGGGGUGAAAGGCCAAUCAAACCGGGAGAUAGCUGGUUCUCCCCGAAAGCUAUUUAGGUAGCGCCUCGUGAAUUCAUCUCCGGGGGUAGAGCACUGUUUCGGCAAGGGGGUCAUCCCGACUUACCAACCCGAUGCAAACUGCGAAUACCGGAGAAUGUUAUCACGGGAGACACACGGCGGGUGCUAACGUCCGUCGUGAAGAGGGAAACAACCCAGAC